GAUGAACGCUGGCGGCGUGCUUAACACAUGCAAGUCGAACGGAAAGGCCCAAGCUUGCUUGGGUACUCGAGUGGCGAACGGGUGAGUUACACGUGGGUGAUCUGCCCCGCACUUCGGGAUAAGCCUGGGAAACUGCGUCUAAUACCGGAUAGGACAGUGGUUUGGAUGCCAUUGUGGAGAGUUUUUUCGGUGUGGGAUGAGUUGGCGGCCUAUCCGCUUGUUGGUGGGGCAAUGGGUUACCAGCGCGUCGGCGGGUAGCCGGACAGAGGGGGUGUACGGCGACAUUGAGACUGACAUGCGGCAGAGGCGCCGACGGGUGGCCGCAGUGGGGAAGACUGCACAAGGGGCGCAAGCCUGAUGCAGCAAGGCCGCGGGGGGUAUGACGGCCUUCGGGUUGAGAACUCCUUGCGCGUGGGUCGAUGCGUGAUGUGACGGUACCUAGAGAAGAAGCACCGGCUAACUACGUG
rnacentral:rRNA from 1 species